rnacentral:lncRNA from 1 species
GGGGGCAAGUCCAGACAUCUCGCCUUGCUCCAUCUGAUCAUCCUGCUGCUUCUUCAGAGGAAGAUUUGAAGUUCCUCAAGGAUUCGAUACUUGAGUACGUAUCCUUCAUGGAUAUGGAUAUUGGAAGGGCCAGUGCCGCCAGACACAAGGAUACACUUGAGCACUUGAGUGCGAAGUUGGAGCAAGCAUUGACGCUUCCGUCGCUCAAUCUUUCUGCCGAUUUUAAAGCGACGUUGAAGGUUAUCCACUCCGAGGUCCUUUCUUUGCUGGCCAAGAAUGCUGAACUAAAGGCCAAACGUACUCAAUAUCUUCGAGCCGUAGCUGAG